rnacentral:rRNA from 1 species
GACGAACGCUGGCGGCGUGCUUAACACAUGCAAGUCGAACGGAAAGGCCUGCUUUCCCUUGUGGAUUGCGGGUACUCGAGUGGCGAACGGGUGAGUAACACGUGAGUGAGCUGAUCACAACGUGGGUAUAAGCCUGGGAAACUGGGUCUAAUUCACGAUAGGACUGCAGGGUGGUGCCUGUGGUGGAAAACGAUUUUCUAGUGGUUGGGGAUGAGCUCGCGGCCUAUCAGCUUGUUGGUGGGGUAAUGGCCUACCAAGGCGGCGACGGGUAGCCGGCCUGAGAGGGUGGACGGCCACAUUGGGACUGAGAUACGGCCCAGACUCCUACGGGAGGCAGCAGUGGGGAAUAUUGCACAAUGGGCGGAAGCCUGAUGCAGCGACGCCGCGUGGGGGAUGACGGCCUUCGGGUUGUAAACUCCUUUCGACCGCGAGGAAGCCACCUGGUUGGAAGGGUGGUGACGGUAGUGGUAGAAGAAGCACCGGCUAACUACGUG